CCUACGGGAGGCAGCAGUGGGGAAUAUUGCGCAAUGGGCGAAAGCCUGACGCAGCGACGCCGCGUGAGGGAUGAAGGUCUUCGGAUCGUAAACCUCUGUCAGCAGGGAAGAACGGUCACUGGGCUAAUCAGCAGUGAAUGGACGGUACCUGCAAAGGAAGCACCGGCUAACUCCGUGCCGGCAGCCGCGGUAAGACGGAGGGGGCGAGCGUUAAUCGGAAGUACUGGGCGUAACGCGCUCGAAGGCGGUAUGUCAAGUCAAGGGUGAAAUCCCCGCGCUCACCGUGGGAACUGCCUUUGAAACUUGCAACCUGGAGUGUGUGAGAGGCUAGUGGAAUUCCAGGUUUCGGCGU
rnacentral:rRNA from 1 species